CCCUUUGUUGUUAAAACUACCUUGUUGCUUUGGCGGGACCGCUCGGUCUCGAGCCGCUGGGGAUUCGUCCCAGGCGAGCGCCCGCCAGAGUUAAACCAAACUCUUGUUAUUAAACCGGUCGUCUGAGUUAAAAUUUUGAAUAAAUCAAAACUUUCAACAACGGAUCUCUUGGUUCUCGCAUCGAUGAAGAACGCAGCGAAAUGCGAUAAGUAAUGUGAAUUGCAGAAUUCAGUGAAUCAUCGAAUCUUUGAACGCACAUUGCGCCCCUUGGUAUUCCGAGGGGCAUGCCUGUUCGAGCGUCAUUACACCACUCAAGCUAUGCUUGGUAUUGGGUGCCGUCCUUAGUUGGGCGCGCCUUAAAGACCUCGGCGAGGCCUCACCGGCUUUAGGCGUAGUAGAAUUUAUUCGAACGUCUGUCAAAGGAGAGGACUUCUGCCGACUGAAACCUUUAUUUUUCUAGGUUGACCUCGGAUCAGGUAGGGAUACCCGCUGAACUUAAGCAUAUCAAUAAGCGGAGGAAAAGAAACCAACAGGGAUUGCCCUAGUAACGGCGAGUGAAGCGGCAACAGCUCAAAUUUGAAAGCUGGCCUUCGGGUCCGCAUUGUAAUUUGUAGAGGAUGCUUUGGGUGAAACGCCAGUCUAAGUUCCUUGGAACAGGACGUCAUAGAGGGUGAGAAUCCCGUAUGUGACUGGAAAUGUUAACCUAUGUAAAGCUCCUUCGACGAGUCGAGUUGUUUGGG
rnacentral:rRNA from 1 species